UACGGGAGGCAGCAGUAGGGAAUAUUCCACAAUGAGCGAAAGCUUGAUGGAGCGACACAGCGUGCACGAUGAAGGCCCUCGGGUUGUAAAGUGCUGUUGCAAGGGAAGAACACUUAGUUGAGGAAAUGCAACUAAGCUGACGGUACCUUGUUAGAAAGCGAUGGCUAACUAUGUGCCAGCAGCCGCGGUAAU
rnacentral:rRNA from 1 species